GUGUCAGCAGCCGCGGUAAUACGAAGGGGGCUAGCGUUGUUCGGAAUUACUGGGCGUAAAGGGCGCGUAGGCGGCCUUGUUAGUCGAGUGUGAAAGCCCUGGGCUUAACCCGGGAAGCGCGCUUGAUACUGCAGGGCUUGAGUGUGGGAGAGGUUGGUGGAAUUCCCAGUGUAGAGGUGAAAUUCGUAGAUAUUGGGAAGAACACCGGUGGCGAAGGCGACCAACUGGACCACAACUGACGCUGAGGCGCGAAAGCGUGGGGAGCAAACAGGAUUAGAUACCCGAGUAGUCC
rnacentral:rRNA from 1 species